AACGAACGCUUGCGGCAGGCUUAACACAUGCAAGUCGAGCGCCCCGCAAGGGGAGCGGCAGACGGGUGAGUAACGCGUGGGGAUCUACCCAUCUCUACGGAAUAACGCAUGGAAACGUGUGCUAAUACCGUAUACGUCCUUCGGGAGAAAGAUUUAUCGGAGAUGGAUGAGCCCGCGUUGGAUUAGCUAGUUGGUGGGGUAAAGGCCUACCAAGGCGACGAUCCAUAGCUGGUCUGAGAGGCUGAUCAGACACACUGGGACUGAGACACGGCCCAGACUCCUACGGGAGGCAGCAGUGGGGAAUAUUGGACAAUGGGCGCAAGCCUGAUCCAGCCAUGCCGCGUGAGUGAUGAAGGCCCUAGGGUUGUAAAGCUCUUUCACCGGUGAAGAUAAUGACGGUAACCGGAGAAGAAGCCCCGGCUAACUUCGUGCCAGCCGCCGCGGUAAAAC
rnacentral:rRNA from 1 species